rnacentral:rRNA from 1 species
CCAGCUCCAAUAGCGUAUAUUAAAGUUGUUGCAGUUAAAAAGCUCGUAGUUGGAUUUCUGUUUUGAGCGUCCGGUCCGCCUCUUUGAGGUGUGUUACUAGGAUGUUUGAGACAUUUUUUGUGAGGAUGUUCUUCUGCCAUUCAGUUGGUGGUUGAAUAGACUUGCAUCUUUUACUGUGAAAAAAUUAGAGUGUUUAAAGCAGGCGUUUGCUCAUUGAAUACAUUAGCAUGGAAUAAUAAGAUACGACCUUGGUGGUCUAUUUUGUUGGUUUGCACACCAGGGUAAUGAUUAAUAGGGACAGUUGGGGGUAUUCAUAUUUCAGCGUCAGAGGUGAAAUUCUUGGAUCGCUGAAAGAUGAGCUUAGGCGAAAGCAUUUACCAAGGAUGUUUUCA